rnacentral:rRNA from 1 species
AGUGAACGCUGGCGGUAGGCCUAACACAUGCAAGUCGAACGGCAGCACAGUAAGAGCUUGCUCUUACGGGUGGCGAGUGGCGGACGGGUGAGGAAUACAUCGGAAUCUACUUUUUCGUGGGGGAUAACGUAGGGAAACUUACGCUAAUACCGCAUACGACCUACGGGUGAAAGCAGGGGAUCUUCGGACCUUGCGCGAUUGAAUGAGCCGAUGUCGGAUUAGCUAGUUGGCGGGGUAAAGGCCCACCAAGGCGACGAUCCGUAGCUGGUCUGAGAGGAUGAUAAGCCACAAUGGAACUGAGACUCGGUCCAGACUCCUACGGGAGGCAGCAGUGGGGAAUAUUGGACAAUGGGCGCAAGCCUGAUCCAGCCAUACCGCGUGGGUGAAGAAGGCCUUCGGGUUGUAAAGCCCUUUUGUUGGGAAAGAAAAGCAGCAGGUUAAUACCCCGCUGUUCUGACGGUACCCAAAGAAUAAGCACCGGCUAACUUCGUG